rnacentral:rRNA from 1 species
UACGAAGGGUGCAAGCGUUACUCGGAAUUACUGGGCGUAAAGGGCGCGUAGGCGGCACGAUAAGUCGGAUGUGAAAUUCCGGGGCUCAACCCCGGAGCUGCAUUUGAAACUGUCGAGCUAGAGUACAGUUAGGGUAAACGGAAUUCCACGUGUAGCGGUGAAAUGCGUAGAUAUGUGGAAGAACACCGGUGGUGAAAACGGUUUACUGGGCUGAAACUGACGCUGAGGCGCGAAAGCAUGGGGAGCAAACAGG